AACACGAGGAACAAGGCUGUACUAACCUUGUGUCGAACUUUCUCUCCAACUUUUGCAAAAGAUACGGUUAUUGCAGAAACAAAGUAACGAAAAAGAUUUAAAAAACCUAAAAGAACGAUCGUAAAAUGCAUUUUACAUUGUUACAUAUAACCUGCAUUCUUUAAUUGGUUACACAAUGUAAGACUUUUAAAAAGCGUUAUUGGAACCUGCCCUUACUGAAUUUAAAAUACCUGCAAAUACUCCUUAAAAUAAUCUUGGGAUGGAAAUUUGGCAAGAAUUUACACAUCAGUCCAACACGUGCCUUGUUGAGCAGGUGGUGACCAUCAUUUGCAAAUAUUUACCUGUGCAAGACAUCAAAAAUGCAAGGUUGAUUAGCAAAGUUUGGAAUUAUGGGGCGUCCUACAGAUUAAAGGAGGUGACCAGACUGUGCUUGGAUUUUAACCCGAGAAAUUUUGACCUGACCUUAAUUCAACGCCAAUUAAAUUUCCGACCGCACCACGUGACCAUCCUUGUCCGAGGGCUUACUCCGAUAAAAGGAGGAGCAUCGUGUCAACCGGAAGUCGUGGUUCCGUCCGGACUGAAUUUAAAAAGUUUAUGGAUCAGGGGCUGGGCACGGAGUAAUUUGAAAGAUGUGGAGGUGCAAAUUGUUGGCGAAAUUUUUGCAAAAAGUUACACAACUUUAGAAGAGAUUAGAUACUGUGGGUACAUCUGGCCAAAAUUUGGGGACGGGGUGGUGUUCAAAAAAGUAAAGGGGUUGGCGAUACGUUCCCUCCAGUGGGGACAGUUCUCCCACGUGUCGCAAAUUUUCCUUAACACGUGUCCCAACUUGGAACGGCUGGAGAUGGAUUAUUCGGGAAGGAGCUUAUGGAAGAAGAAUCCGACACAUUUCCCAGGGUAAAUUUUGACACAUUAAAUAAAUUUGGGGGUGAUUUUGCAAAAUUUUGGGGAAGAAUGUAUUUAUUUAUAUUUACAUGAUUUACGAUAGAGGUAAAAAUACGUGAUUUAAAAAGGAGAGAUUUUGACCCACUAACAAUGCAGGUCUCCUAACGUAUGCUCACACCUUUGGAACAAACUAGUGCCAAUCGAUCGCAAAUUUAAUUAGUAUGAAAUUUGCAAAUGGCACCAUCUGCCAAUCGUUGGACUAAUUCUGAAAGGGCCAGAAAGAACCGGAAGAGCGAUAGAUGGGGCUGGGAAUUUGAAAAAUACAAUGAAUCUUAUUUAUUUAUAGUUUUUACAUAUUUAGAUUGUUUUUUUUUCAGUGCAAGAUAUUCCAGGAUGAUAAGAAACUUGAGAUAUUCAUAUUCUAAUUAUUAUAUUGCGCUUAGGUCUUUUCAAUAGUUUUUCUUGUGUACUUAGGCCCUUUCUGAAUUAAAUAUCGAUUGCACUUUGGCCCUCUCGGAAUUAAGUAUCGACUGCACUUGGGCCCUCUCGGAAUUAAGUAUCGACUGCACUUGGGCCCUCUCGGAAUUAAGUAUCGACUGCACUUGGGCCCUCUCGGAAUUAAGUAUCGACUGCACUUGGGCCCUCUCGGAAUUAAGUAUCGACUGCACUUUGGCCCAUUCAGAAUUAGUCCGACGCAAUGCUAAUGUUUAGCGGAGAUAUUUACAAAAAAGGAGGAGAAAAUUUAACUCAUCGACCCGAAAAUUUUACAGUUUCCCAAUAUGCUACACAUUUUUCCCGUUUUGGAUGUCAACCAAUCUCUACCAAACCUGCGUAUUGGCAGAUAUGUAGUUCAGUUUGCAAAUUCCAUACUCAUUAAAUUUGUGAUUGCCAUUAAUUUGGUUCAAAUCCGUGAGCAUACAGACGUUGAGAGACGAGACCCCGAUUCUCCUUGACGAGUUUAAUCUUCAACACGGAAUUCAUUCAAGGCACCUGGAUUUCCAAAAAUUUCGCCCAAAGACUUCUCAACUUCCCGAAUUCUCUCCGAGUCCUGCACUUCCAUCAAUACUUUGACGAACAGGACACGGAACCCUGGCUCUUUCGACUGCUGCACAAACAUCACAGCACCCUUGUCGAUCUCGGUGUCACUUUGACAGGUUAUUACCCGGACGUCGUCCUGCCACAACUUCCGGUCUUGGAAUCCCUGGAAAUUAGUGCCCGGGGAGAUUACGACGUUUGGUGGGCGGACGAGAUAAACCCCACGGAGAGGAUUGACUAUGACAAAUUUUUGCCGAAAUUAGCCCAACUUACCAUAAAGUGUGGCCCGGGUGUGGAAAGUUUCGACUUGGUGGAUUCCUUUCUCCCGGUUAAACCGAACAAGUUAAUUGAACUUGUCGGACCGGUGUGCGAAACGGUGAAGGAGGUUUUUAUUCGCGAAAAUCUGGAAGGCCAGGAAAAGUUGAAUGAACGGUUGCAGCAGUACUGUUUUUUGCGUAUGGUUUGGCCAGAAGCGGAAAUCACGUGCACGCACAGAAAAAUCCAAACCGAAUUGACACCAUGCCCGUGUCACGCUGUGACUGUACCGGUUUGGUGUCAAAUUGAUACGGUGCGGUGUGAAUUACGUUUUACACCGUUGUAGUGGUUGUGACAUCCCAUUGGAUGUGUAAAUAAUUCAAUAUGUAUGUCGGAGUAAAUGGUAGUACUAACCAGGUAUACUAUGUAUGUGUGACAACGAUCCAGCCUAUACGUUUGAUGCAAAUUUUAAUACUAGCCCGAUGGUCUGAACUCAUUUUUGUGCUAAAUUCACUUUCCGACAAGUUGUAUCGACAUUACCUGCGCCAAACGGGCACUUUUCCCAAUGCUUUAGCAAGCGAGGAAAUGAAAGUAGUGGAUCGUCCGCGACUUUCUCACUCCACGCACGGGUCAUCGACCCUGGAUGAUCCGUGCUUCCAGUUUUAGGUAACACCUUUCACAUUUCUCUCUUGCUAAAGCAUUGGGAAAAGUGCCCGUUUGGCGCAGGUAAUGUCGAUACAACUUGUCGGAAAGUGAAUUUAGCACAAAAAUGAGUUCAUACCAUCGGGCUAGUAUUAAAAUCUGCAUCAAAUGUAUAGGCUGGAUCGUUGUUACACAUACAUAGUAUACCUGGUAAGUAAACUAAAUUUAAGUUACUUUUUUAAAGUCAAAAACUCGCAAAUAAAGAAAUAAAUUGAGUAUCAUAAAUAUGUGCCACUUC